rnacentral:rRNA from 1 species
UUUAAUUUUAAGUUGAUUUUUUAUUAAUUAUUGUAUUUUAUAAAAAAUAAUUUAUUGUAUUAGUAAUUUUUAUUGAAUAUAUUAGAGGUUCUAUAGUUAAUUUUACUGUGAAGGAUAUUUAUUAUUAUCUUAUAAGUUCUUUUUAUUUAGGGUACCUUUUGUAUCAGGGUUUAUUAAUUUUUAAUAAAAAUUUAUUUUUCCCGAAUUUUGAAGAGUUAAUUUUUUAUGAUGUUAAUUGUAUUAUAAAUUUUUUUAAUAAAUUGUUGGACGAUAAAUUUGAGCCAUUUCAUUAUAUCUGGUUAUCUGAGAAUUAAAUUUAAUUUAGUUUAUUUUUGAUAGUUAUGUAUUUAAUUUUUAAUAUUAGAAAUAUAUACUCGGAGAAGGGAUAAGCUUUCUUUGUUUUCUAUAAAUUUUAUUUAUAUAUUUUGUGUAGAUUUAGAAUUGAUCAUCAUUAAUAAUGUUAUAAUAUAUUUUAUGCUAAUAUUGAUUUUUUUUAUUUUAGAAUUUUAUUAGAUUAUUUUAAUAUAAUUAUUUUAUUUAAUUUAUUAUGAUAAAAUUAGUAAAUAUGAUAAUUUAAAAUUAUGAACUCGGCAAUUAUCUCUUUCACCUGUUUAUCAAAAACAUGGCCUAUUGAUUUAUAUUUUAGGUCUGGCCUGCCCACUGAUUUUUAAAUGGCCGCGGUAUUUUGACCGUGCAAAGGUAGCAUAAUCAUUUGUCUCUUAAUUGGAGGCUGGUAUGAAUGGUUUGAUGAGAAGAGGUCUUUAUUAUUUUAAUUUAUUGAAUUUAAUUUUUGAGUCAAAAAGCUUAAAUUUAUUUAUGGGACGAGAAGACCCUAUAGAACUUUACUUAUUAUAUUUAUUAAUUAUUUUGGGUUUUAAUUUUAUUAAUAAUUAUCAUAAGUUGGAUUGGGGCGAUUUUGAGGAAGAUUUAACCCUCAAAUAUUUAUUUCAUUAAUUUUUGUUAUUUUGAUCCAUUAUUGUUGAUUAUUAGAUUAAGUUACCUUAGGGAUAACAGCGUAAUUUAUUUAGAGAGUUCAUAUCGAUAAAUAAGGUUGCGACCUCGAUGUUGAAUUAAGAUUACUUAAGGGUGCAGAAUUUCUUAAAGUAGGUCUGUUCGACCUUUAAAUUCUUACAUGAUUUGAGUUCAAACCGGCGUGAGCCAGGUUGGUUUCUAUCUUUAAUUAUUUAUUUCAUCUUAGUACGAGAGGAUUAGAUGAUUGAUAUACUAUUUUAUAAGUUGUUUACAAUU